rnacentral:rRNA from 1 species
GUCUCUUCGUGGAUGAUUAAACCGGCGCACGGGUGAGUAACACGUGAGUGACCUGCCUUUUAGACUGGAACAACUUACCGAAAGGUGAGCUAAUGCCGGAUGAGUUAUAUAAGUGCAUGUUUAUAUAGGAAAAGUUGGGGAGACCUGACGCUGAAAGAUGGACUCGCGUCCCAUUAGCUAGUUGGUAGGGUAAUGGCCUACCAAGGCGACGAUGGGUAGCCGGCCUGAGAGGGUGGCCGGCCACACUGGGACUGAGACACGGCCCAGACUCCUACGGGAGGCAGCAGUGGGGAAUUUUGCGCAAUGCUCGUAAGAGUGACGCAGCGACGCCGCGUGAAUGACGAAGGCCUUCGGGUCGUAAAGUUCUUUCGACAGGGAAGAAAAUGCCUAUAAGUAACUGUGUAUGUAUUGACGGUACCUGUAUAAGCAGCCCCGGCUAACUCCGUGCCAGCAGCCGCGGUAAUACGGAGGGGGCGAGCGUUGUUCGGAGUGACUGGGCGUAAAGAGCACGUAGGCGGUGUUGUAAGUCAUUAGUCAAAGACUAGAGCUCAACUUUAGUAAGGCUAGUGAUACUAUAAUACUAGAGUAUCAGAGAGGAUUGCAGAAUUCCUGGUGUAGCGGUGAAAUGCGUAGAUAUCAGGAGGAAUACCGUUAGCGAAGGCGGCAAUCUGGCUGGAAACUGACGCUGAGGUGCGAAAGCGUGGGUAGCAAACAGGAUUAGAUACCCUGGUAGUCCACGCUGUAAACGAUGGAUGCUAGGUGUUGGGCUUUUAAGUUCAGUGCCGCAGCAAACGCGAUAAGCAUCCCGCCUG